UCCAGUGAUGGCAUGAUGUCUUUGAGACAUGAUUUUAAUGACAAUUAUAAGCAUUCUACGUUGAGGCA
rfam:Helianthus annuus linkage group 5, whole genome shotgun sequence.